AUCCGAGUAUUUUUUUUUAUGCAUAGCUUACCUUCCUGUCUUAUGAUAUGAGACAUAAUUUUUGUUGUGACUGAAAUUCUUGACAUUUCUCAACAGUUCGUGGUACCAUACGCUGCAGCGGCGAAAAUUAAAAAAUGGUAAAUUGAGAAAGUGUUUUAGGAAUAUUCCCGAUUAUUUUUGAAAUCCUGAAGGAAAAAUAAAAUUCAUAAUGAUGAAAACAUAAAAGUGGUGAAUUUCCGGCGGUCCAGUUAGAAAUUUGAGUGCUGGGCCGCUGUAAUAUUUUAUGGAUGUUUUUUUUUAAUGUUCCUGCUCACGAGGUUCCACUUCCAACUUGCUGAUUUGUAUUCUAAUUGCAAUUUGUCAUUGGCUAACCCACCGACUACGGGCCUUAUAUCGGUCAGGGUUUUUAAUGAUAUAUUGAGCCAGAACAAGGAGUGAAAAUUACCCUAUUCUUUGGAAAGUAUAGGCUCUGAAC